CUGGCGGCGUGCUUAAUACAUGCAAGUCGAACGAAGCACUUUGACAGAUCCCCUCGGGUGAAGAUGAUUGUGACUUAGUGGCGGACGGGUGAGUAACGCGUGGGGAACCUGCCUCGUGCUGGGGGAUAACAGUUAGAGAUGACUGCUAAUACCGCAUAAGCGCACAGUAAGGCAUCUUACAGUGUGAAAAAGAUUUAUCGGCAUGAGAUGGACCCGCGUCUGAUUAGGUAGUUGGCGGGGUAACGGCCCACCAAGCCCGCGAUCAGUAGCCGACUUGAGAGAGUGAUCGGCCACAUUGGGACUGAGACACGGCCCAGACUCCUACGGGAGGCAGCAGUAGGGAAUAUUGCACAAUGGGGGAAACCCUGAAUGCAGCGACGCCGCGUGAGUGAUGAAGUAUUUCGGUACGUAAAACUCUAUCAGCAGGGAAGAUAAUGACGGUACCUGACUAAGAAGCCCCGGCUAACUACGUGCCAGCCGCCGC
rnacentral:rRNA from 1 species